CUUUACUCAAGCUCCACGGCCUUUGUCAACAUUAUCUUAGGACGUCUGAUUCCAUUUUCAUCUCUCUCCCAUACUGCGUCACUUCUUUAUGCAGUGCAUCACUAAUCCUCUUCUGACGCCCAAUCAGCCCAUUAUGUGACCCUGUGUCUUCAUUUCCAGGAUCCACCAUUUUAGAAACGUGAAGAUCCUUGAAAGAAGACCUGGAGGGAUUGGUAAACCAUUACUAACAGGAAGUAAAGCUGGUUCCACUUUCUAAAAAUGGUUGGAGGUCAUCAGGUAGUACAGAUGCAUGGAUCCCUCAGUUGUCAGCUGAGGGAUCCUUAUAGCAAGAGAUCCGCCUUAACAGGCUCUGGAUAAUGUGAAUGAGCAUUGUGAGUAUUUAUCAACUCCUAUCAUGAACUUGUUGCAUUAUGAGUACUGAUGACCUCCCACUAUACACUUGUCUCAAUGCACUUGUCUGCAAAAAUAACAUGUUAUUCUAUCUCAAAUCAAUAGGAUGCAACUGUGGCAGGGACCAGAACCAUUUAUGACAGCAUGAUAUGUUAACAUUGACCUAUGAGAAUCAGUUGUCAUUCUAAUGCCAGUGUGUCCACACACUACAUUAUGAGGGCAACUUUGUUGAAGCUUUUCAAACAUUUUUAUAUUUCUG